GAUUCUGGGAAUGACGUCACACCUGAGUUGAAUGCAUUCCAUUUCAAGUUGUAUUUACAUAGUUUUUAUUAGCUCUAGCCAGGUUAGCCAUUGUUAGGAAUGCCAGUUUAUAACAACGCAUUACGUUGUUUUCGUGCAUGCGAACAGACUG